GACAGAGGGUGCAAACGUUGUUCGGAAUUACUGGGCGUAAAGCGCGUGUAGGCGGCCCUGCAAGUCGGGUGUGAAAUCCCACGGCUCAACCGUGGAAGUGCAUUCGAAACUGCAGGGCUAGAGUCCUGGAGAGGAAGGUGGAAUGCUUGGUGUAGAGGUGAAAUUCGUAGAUAUCAAGCGGAACACCGGUGGCGAAGGCGGCCUUCUGGACAGUGACUGACGCUGAGGCUCGAAAGCAUGGGGAGCAAACAGG
rnacentral:rRNA from 1 species